CGAGCGUCAUUUCAACCAUCAAGCCCAGCUUGUGUUGGGGCCCUGCGGCUGUCCGCAGGCCCUUAACCAGUGGCGGGCUCGCUGUCACUCCGAGCGCAGUAAUACAUCUCGCUUUGGUCGUGCGGCGGGUACCGGCCGUUAAACACCCCCUUUUUAUCAAGGUUGACCUCGGAUCAGGUAGGAAUACCCGCUGAACUUAA
rnacentral:misc_RNA from 1 species